CUAAAAAAGAAGGAAUCCUAACAGUCCAUCAUCCAUCAGAAAAAAAAAAUUGCAUGUGCACACACGUGUCACUUUGUCACGAGAGAGCAGCGAAACUCUCUCAUUUCACACACCGAGACCAUCCGCUGUAGCCCUUGUCAAGCCCCUUUUGUCCAGUAUAUGCACCUAAACCGUGGCUAAUUUCCCCGACUUGAACUGUUGUAAUCCUCUCAACAAAGAAAGACCCAUCGCAGAGAAUGCUUUGGCCUCCAUCUCUACCUCAUGUGACCUCCCGCAGGCAGCGUCCCGGUUACCCCGCCCUUCCACGUGCUGACAGGCGGCCAGCUCCCGGCCAACCCUGACCCCGAAGCCCUGGCGCUCACGGCGCUCGCAUGCGUCGCACAGAAAAACGAUUGCCUCAAACAGCGUGAUAAAGCGGGGGUCAGAAGUUGGAACAAAGGAGACGGAAGACUGUCAUGUCUAAAGUCUGGAGUUGCAGAGCUUGUUGUGAUGUCGCGAGAACCCGAAAUGAAGCGUUCUCAAAACAAUGGCUGCCUCCCCAAAGUCGACCCAGGAAUUUCACCUUCUCUUGAAUGUUCACGAUCUUCCUUUCGGCACUGCGACACAAAGGGUUUGCGAUAUAGUGCGGUAAACAGAGUAUAUCGUAAAAAAUGUUCCCGCUUGUUUGGCGGGAGAAACGGUCCCAACCCGAAACUCACUUAGCCGCAUGAAUAAAUGAAACGCAGCAUGCAUGAUUCAGAUGCACCACACUCGCUGCGCACAUACGUGCGUUUUACGUCAUCAAGCAAGCGUCUAAUGCACAUUAACUGGAUCCUCUGGUUUAUUUAUGGGGGUUGGAAUUUAUCUACCCAACUUGCACCUAUUUUCUGCGCACUCAACAGUUAGAAUUUAACAUUGAACCUUGAUCGCUAUUUGUCCUAACCUUCGAGGCGAUGUGGUUUUUGUUCAACGGAGACACACAUUGACAGGAUUGUUAUAGACCAACAUUUUCCAACUAAGCCUGCUACCCGAAUACCACAAAGACCAAUAUAUUCCCUUUCUGAGGUGUGCUUCAAUAUUUUUUUUCUUUUAUUCGACUUCAGAACCCUUUAGCCCUCCAAAUGUCCAAAUAGAAUGAGACAGGGGCCCAGACGAAAAGUCUAAUUAGUUGAGAGAUUGAGUCAUGAGGUUCGAUGACCCUAUGACUCGGAACCUCUGCUGUAAAACCAGUGACACGUACAGUUGGGAUCCAGCUAGCGCGUGCCUUCGGGGUUGCUAAUCCCGUUAGGGUGCGUCCAUGCUGAAGCGUGAUCAAACACCCUGCAGAUGCGGGCUGAACGUUUGAGCAUUGCCGGGCUAAUGGUAGUGUUUAAGAAGUUGAGCCUUUGAGGAGAAAACACACUUUUUUUCCCUUAUAUUGUACCACGACUACGGCCCUGUAGGUGGCGGUAAUGUACAUUACAAAUAGCGCACCGUUUUUUUUUUUUUUUUUCGACAGCACCUCCAUCUGUCUGAUGGGUGACCGCCCCUACUUGCAUACGGGCUGUGUUUAUACAACUUAACGCGACUGCAUUUUUAAGCACUUUAAAACAACCACCGCUGUAUACAAAGUCCUGUACAUGGAGCAAAAAUAAUUCCCACAACAACAGACAAUAACAUUAGGAAGACAAAGUAAUAGAAAGCACAAGCACAGUAAAAUUAUGUGGAUUUGAAAGUGAUUUUGUACUACACAUGUAUAUGAUUGUUAUGGAGUGGGUCAUUUUAUGAGACACAAAACUUUUGGAAUUACUUUUUUUUUACUACACAGGUGUGUGAUUGUUAUACAACGCAUUCUAACUUUGAGAGUGAUUAUUUGGGCUAUGCAUGUGCGUCAUUGUUAUGGCACACAGCUUCGGGAGUGAUCGUUUUAAGAGGAUGGGCGUGUGAUUGCUCUGCCACAUACACCAGUGUGAUUGUUAUGCCACAUGAAAAAAGCAAGGAAUUGUUAUGCUACAUACACAGGUAUAUGAUUGUCAUGACACAUAGAUGAGCAUGCGAUUUUUAUGCCAGAUGUAGCUUUGAGAGUGAUACGUUUACUGCGCAAGUGUGUGAUUGUUAUGCCACAACUAGUUUUAAGUGUGAUUGUUUUCGUAGGGGAAUUUGUGAUUAUGCCACACGUAGCUUUGAGUGAUGUUUUUUUGCUGCGUGGAUAUGUGAUUGUUAUGCCUCACAUUACAUUGAGACUGAUUGUUUUGCCACAUAUUUCCUUUCCUCCUAUUCAUCCCUUGAAGACAAUGUUAUACAGAAUAGAGAAAUCGAUUGUUGCCUGUGAACCAAAACUGUAUCUCUCUUUGGCGCAGAGCCGAGUGGGAUCCGGCUGAAGCUGCCUUUUAAUUUUUUGCCUCGCUGUUGGAAUAAAGACAAUUCUUUCUGAAGAAAGGAUUUGUCUAUUGCAGAAAUUUCACUACCGCCAUCUAACCCUGCGCCCCACCGAUCAUCCCCCACCCCCUGCGGCUCUAAUAUCCACCUGUCUAUAUUCCACAGCAUUGCACACUGCAUUCACAUCAGGUAAACCCAGUACAAAACACACACCCUUGAGAAUAAAAGCAACAGUAAAAGGCGAGCAGGCGAACGGAGCGAACCUACUCCUGUCAGAUUGGAAGACGAAGAAAAAUGGAGCGUGACCACUGUCUCCAGCCAGCCGGAAAAACACGACGUCCACGUUUGUCCAUCACAUCAUAAUCGAACGAUCGUGAGAGGCAGACGCUUCCCCCCCACACACGAUGACUUUUUGCCCCGAAGCUCGCCACGCUCCAACUGACCCACAUACAGUAAGCGGGCGCUAUUAGAAGUCAAGCGGGCGUAUGUGCGGGCAGAUGGAGGGUAAAAAGCACGGGAAGUGACCUUAUACUCUCUUUUCUCAUCUCAUCUGACGGCAGUCUGAGUGGAAAGUCGACUUCUUCUGAAACUAGCCAUCCACAGACAAGGUACACUGCCGGACUUGUCAAUCGCAAACCAUGCAAGCAUUUUCACUCACAUUGCCACCUAUGGAGGAUUUAGAUAGAGUCUUUGAUCAACCUAACAUGCACGUUUUUGGAAUGCGUGAAAGAGCCAGAGUACCUGAAAAACAAAAAAACAAAAACGAACAC